rnacentral:rRNA from 1 species
CAUGUAGGCGGCAUGACAAGUCUGGUGUGAAAUAUCUCGGCUUAACCGGGAAAACGCGCUGGAAACUGUCAAGCUAGAGUAUCGGAGGGGAAGCUAGAAUUCCUGGUGUAGGGGUGAAAUCUGUAGAUAUCAGGAAGAAUACCGGUGGCGAAGGCGAGCUUCUGGCCAGAUACUGACGCUGAGAUGCGAAAGCGUGGGGAGCGAACA